GUGCUAGCUUUGGCAGCACAUAUUGUAAAAUCGGAAUGAUCCGGAGAAGAUUAGCAUGGCCCCUGCCCAAGGACGACACGCAAAUUUGGGAAGUAUUCCAUGUUUCA